ensembl:snoRNA
ACAUUCUGAAAAUGACCUCAGGUGUACCAGUUGCCUGGGGUGAGAUAACUGUGCCUACAGUAUUGUGGUACGUUAAGCUUAUUGCCUGCUCUGUAUAGCAGUGUGAUUAAACCCAUGUACCCACAAUC